rnacentral:lncRNA from 1 species
AAAAAUCAGACCAGAUCCCUGUUAACUGCUAGUCACUAUAAAUUAUUUUCUUUCUUUUCUUUCACUCCCCUUCCUUCACUCCCUCCCUCCUUCCCUCCCUUCCCCCCUCACUCCCUGCCUCCGUCCUCCCUCCAUCCUCCUCCGUCCUCCCUCCCUCCUCCCUCCCUUUUCCCUUCCUCCCUUCCUCCCUCCCUUUUCCCUCCCUUUUCCCUUCCCUUCUCCACUCCCCCCCCCA